GCUUGCCAACUGAUGGGCUGCCCAUGCCCCGUCCUUGAUUCUGCAUGGAGAGGAUGCUGAAGGCUUCCCCCUGUGUUUGGAAGGUCCAUUCCUGUCCUUGUCAAACUCUGGUGCUUUGAACACA